CAUUGAGCCUGGAAAUACUGCUGAAACCACAUUUGGGAACAAAGCUCCGCUUUAAGUAGGCUCACCCAUGAGUGUUGCUAAGCAAUGGAGAGAAGGCGAGAGAGGGAGAGCGCCUGACUUCAGGAUUAGAAGGAUAGAUAGAAGGAAAAACACUAAGGCUUCUAUAUAGCCUUAUUUACAGUCUGCUUGCAAGUCCUAUGUUUUUCUUGCCUGACUUCUGACCUAUUUGUACCACAAUUAAUCAAACCUGGUUCUGUAUCUAUACCACCACGCAUCCAGCACAGAGUUGCGCUACGACCUGGAGCUGUGCACAAGCAGUUACGCACCAGAACUGUCAACAUGUCUCCACGUUGAACAGGCGUGAUGGGGAAAUCAAUCCAACCACGAUACGCAGUGAUUAGAUCAGCUAUUGCCACUCAGAAGAGAAAUGUGUGGACAGUCUUGUAUAAGUGUUAGCUCAGCAUUCAUCAACAAAGGAGAAAUGAAUCAGAGGAGCAACACUUCAAGCAACAGAGAAGGAAAGAAAAUACCUUCAAUGUCUGUCACUACAAAUCUAUGGAGAGCUAUUGCAUUGCAACUGUAACGAAGGCAUCUGCCAUCAUGCUUCAGUUACCCAAAGAACAACCUGGAGUGGGAGCUAAGUUAUCAUUCUCCUGUAAUCACUGGAAAAGCCCAGAGCAGCAUUUGAAAAACACUAGAAAGAAAGCAUCUCAGAAGGCUUAGUAGAAAUAAGGAUCAGUUCUGACCAAGGGAGAGCCCGGGACAACUGCUGUAGAUACAACACUUCUACACCAAAGUUUAAGGAGCUUGAACUAUUCUCAGCACCACAGCAAGUCCCCAGUCCUGCCAAUCAGGCCAACACAAGCAACUGCAUCUAAAGAAAACAGCAUCGUUCCUGGGCUAUGAUUGGCCUAGACAACAACAUGAUACAGGAACAGAUUUCCUUUACUAGUACCUUGUUUUAUCAUUUUUUCUUCAGUCUUCCAAGUGUACGUGCUGCCUUUCUAACCAUACAAUUAAACCGUAUUCUGCUAAGCACCAUGUGGCCAUGAGCCACUGAGUGAUACUUUUUAGGGGUCAGAAGGAAAAAAGCAGAAUGUCUUAUCUAAAAGUCAGCUCCUAUUUGCUACCACCUGCCUCUCUCUGCAAGUGCUCACAGCCCUGCCCUUUCCUCAGCAAAAAACCAACAGAAUGGAGAAGGCUUUUCUGGUCAUCAGCUACUCACACACACCUUGUAGCAAAUCAAUCUUAGGAACUGAAGUUCCACUGCAGGCUUCAGCAGGGUUUACAAACCUAUUCCUCAAAGACAAGUUUCCAAACACACUGAGCACAUUCACCAUUCAUUAAAUAAAGACAUCUAAACCAACUGGCUCUCCAACUGGCCUGCCUAUAAGUUUGACCAUGGCACUCCAGAGUUGACAUAUCCCAGACAGAGCAAGUUCUGCAUUUCCACAGCCUCCUACCCUUACCAGGAAAAGCUUUCUUUUAAAAAAAAAAAUAAAAAUUAUCAUAUCCACUGUGCCAACAUCAGGGUGUAAUCCUAAUCCAUGCCACUGACUCCACACCUGCUUCAAGAGCAGCAGUCUAAGACAAGACUUUUACCAAGUGCCUUCAUUCCUCAUUAAUUUCUCCCUCAAGACAUCCACCCAUUUCCUAGGAUCAGAAGAUCUUCCUGAGCUGUUUCCAGUCACCUGCCUCCUCCCUAUGCACAUCCUGAACUCAACACAAACAGUUGUGAACAGGAACACCUGGAUGCACCAUCCCUGCCUUGCUCCCACAGCUGGAAUUGCACAGCAAGGAGCAGACAGAGCUGAACUCACUGAUGAGCCUCAGUAUCUUUCUCUCCAAGCCUCAUCACAGACAAGGAAAUCCUUACACCAAGUUGGUACAGAAAUCAUAAAUAUUCUUGCAGAAGACCUAUGUAGAACUCAGUGCUUGCUAAUUGUAGCUAUGUUGUCCUGGGUAUUGAGACAUCAGUCACGCAGGCCUUCACUUUGAUACCUGCAGAUGUGCUCUGUGAGCUUAAGUCACAGGGAGUCUGCAGACCUAACGUAGAUGCCUUGAACAACCACAGAAAAAGUUUUCUUCUAAGAUAGUUUCCUGAUUUUAAAUAUCACUUAUACAGAAAGCUUUUACUCUCCUGGAUAUAGUUUCUUUUUAACGAUUUUUAGCAUAUUGUACUUAGGUGAAGAGAAGUACUUCAGGAAAAUCUACUCCUUUAAUAGUUUGCUUAAGAGGAUGCUAUUGCAGUGAAUUAUCUUUCUUUAGCCACAGCUGCCUCCCAAUGGAUUUCUUAUGUUUCUUACAGGGAAUUUAAGAGCAGUCUCUGAAGUCCUACAGAACUGACAAACUACUCAUUUAGAGAGGCUCCAUGCUGGGUGACUCCCAUGAUCUCCUUUUCUUUACAAACAGCAUUUCUUUUAAAAAGGUACAGAGUUUGUUUCCAUAUGCUCAUGAUUUCUCAAUACUGCUGUUCUUACAAACUAGUAAAUGAAUGCCUCCAGCUAGCACUAACAUUUCUAUCAAUGUAACAGCCCAGCCUACAGGGAUCUAAUUUACCGAAACUGGUUAAGUGCUACACAAACAUCAUCUAGAGAGAUUAAUUGGCUGUUAAAGUUUGAUUGCUUUGCAAUCCCUUGGUCAUGGUUGGAAAAUGAAAAAGUGAUCUUUUGUCAUUACGUAAAUACCUUAAGGUAUAGAAUAUAUGCAGGGCUUUGUUUACAUUUCCUAAACACAGCAAGUCUUCAGUGGGAAGGAGAGCUAUGACCCAUUUAUUUAUACUGAAGUUUAUUUAGUAUAUUCAUUAUGAAUGACAUUUUCCUGAAGUUUAUUUAGAAGUUAAGUCUUUCCAAGCUGUAAUUAAUCCAAAUUAAAACACAUUUAUGCUGAUCAUUACAGCAAUUUGUUGCAGACAAGUUUCCAUUUGAACAUUUCCCAAAGUCUGUUUUACUGUACUCUGAAUCUUCAAUUUCCGAAGUGCAACUUUCCAUUUCCCCUAUAAACAGCACAAAUCAGAUACCCCUUUCUCCUGGAGUUUUUUCACUCAGAAGUUCCCUGAAGUUCUAGGGUAAUUUAGUAUCACUCUUAUUACUCAUUUUUCUUCAUUCUUAGUCUGUGAAACUCUUGCUUAACCAUCAGCUUUGUAACCUUACCUUUCUCAAGGGAAAAGCCUUAAUCAAGUGUAAGAAAGCCUGCAGAAAAGCUCAAAGCUCUGUUCACAGACCAUGCUAAAAGACAAGGCGAGGAAUGAGAACUGGAGACAUCAGCCAAAUGAGUUGUCAGCGAGUCCAUUUUGUACAACUUGAGCAAUUAAAACUAAACUAUUUCCAUAGUGCUAUUCCACAGAUAUAAAAAGCUUCUUUUCCUUGACAAACUUUCAUCAUUUAUACACACACUACCUCACUGACAACACACCUACAAAGAAACCUACAGGCCUAUCCAAAGGGAUGGAUGUCCUCAUUAUUAUUUGAGCCAACAUUCAGGAUUAUCCAAGUAUGGAUUGCAAACACGUAGACACUGGGGUAUCAGAAUGGAAUUGGCACAAUUACUAUUAGCAACAUGCAUAAGAAAUAAAAUUUACUGUGUUCCAGACACAGGAGAAUUUGCAGCCUUUCUAUACAGCAGGAAAAGCUUUUCUUUCUCAGACUCCGGAAAUACGAUCGGGAAUCAAAUGCAUUGCAUAUGAAACCCUCAGCAUACCACAUUCAAUUUCUCUUCUACUGAUAUGUGAAUAAACACCCAUAACAGUUCAGCAUCUGGAUUGCAUGCAAAGCUGUAAUGCAGAGAAGGUGGAGAAGAACUGAACAUAGCAGACAGUUCCUAUAAAAAGGUUACGAAAUAGUCUCCUAGACAGAGGCCCUACUGCUCCACUAAAAUUAAACAUUUAAACGAUUUGAAGAUAGCAACAGGAUUGCAGUUUGCAUAGAUAAGAGAUAAGCACAGAACUCCACCCUAUACAAAUACUUAGUUUCAUGAUGCAUAUGCCAGCCCAUUUACUGCAGAACUUCCACAGCUCUAAAGGAAAAAAAUCCAAACAAAUUAUUUUAUUCAGCUUGUAAAAAAAACCUCAACUGGUGUUGAAAAACAAGUAUGGGAAGAGUAACGGAAAUAUAUGUAUAUAGAUAGAUUGAUUCCAUGCAGAAGCUCAGAAAUUAUCAACACAAAAAGUGCUCAGAUACCAUGGUGAUCAACACAUUACAGAAACAGAGUGCCAGCAUAUCCAGAAAAGAUGCAGUCCUCUAAUAGAUACAUCCAUCAAAUGGGCACAGGCAUAGUUUUCUCCACAAAUAAAUAAAUAAAUAAAUAAAUAAAUAAAAAUAAAAAGGAGGUACUAGGUCCUUUUGGAGGAGCUACGUGCCUCACUUGCCAUUCUGACUGCAGCUUUGAACUUGAUUUUGACCACUGUAUCCAAACAGAAAAUGUGACAUUUGAAAGCCAAGUUUCCCCAAGCUAGAUGUAAAUAUUAACUCUGAAAGUACUAGAUGGACAGACACAUUCCCCUUCCCACCUUCCUGCUGCUCCCCACACAGUUCUGCAGAGCCUGGAGAGCCAUCCACACACCCAGGAGCACUUGGUCCAAGAGGUACCACCUACAUCCAGAAGACUGCCACUAGAUUUGGUAGCUUCGCUUUGGUAGCUUUGGAAGCAUCCCUCAGAUGCUUCGGGCCAAGGUUAAGAGUGGAUAAGGAAAUGCACUGUUCACAGAAGCAGUUGGCUAUCAUCUGCAACACAGCUUUUUGUCAGCGCUGUCUGGAAGCCUGAAUUUGCACACUUCGUGUGGGUGAACACACCAAACACUACUCGGAAUUAUUUAAAGGUACCAAACAGCUGGUUUGGAUCAUGUUUGUAUAGAAUAGCCUGCUCAAAGCCUUAGAUUGCUUCUCCCAUUGAGAUUACAUUCUCCAGGCAUCGCAGUAUCUAAAUGAAGUGGUUUCAAAAUAGGAACCUAAAUCACUUAGGGAAAAACAACCACACUUUAAAAGAAGCAAUAAAACUGUCUCCUUUCUGCAGCAAAAAGAAUCCUAGCUUCCUCAUGCUUACCAACAUCUCCAAGAUUUAUGGUGUCAGUUGGAUUCACCUCCCUCACAUCCCAUUAAGGGUGGCUAUUUCCUGUCAAAGAUACACUGAGCAGAGCUGCCCUGCACUCCUGCCCCAAACAGCAGACACCGAGAAAGGCAGCCCCCCUUAUUGACACCACAUCUCCUGCACUGACGCUGUUUGCCUUCUUUACUGCAGCUGUACAUGUUGGGAUCAGCACUUCAGCGAUUUUUAUGUUCACUUGAAAGUGUCUUUCCUGGGCAGCGCACUCUGCAAUCUCACCCAUAAUAUAUGAGGUUUUAACUGUUUCCUUUUAGGCUUUUUUUUUUUUUGUAGCCUAUUUAUAGCUUCCUAACUGACUGCAUUUUACAAUUUAUGAGCAACUUAAAUGACCUGAAUCUCCUGUAUCUAAUUGUAGUGGGAGAGGCCUCAUUAUUUGUUGUGCCUUUUCCCAAUCCCUUGCUUUGAAAUCCUUGCUUUGUGUCGCAUUGUCAGAAGUGAUUACAGCACGAAUAAAGACUGCACUAAAAACCACAGAUCUCGCGUUAUGGGCUCUUCCCAUCCUGUAGGGAUUACU